rnacentral:rRNA from 1 species
GACGAACGCUGGCGGCGUGCCUAAUACAUGCAAGUCGAGCGCAGGAAAUCGACGGAACCCUUCGGGGGGAAGUCGACGGAAUGAGCGGCGGACGGGUGAGUAACACAUAAAGAACCUGCCCUCAGGUCUGGGAUAACCACGAGAAAUCGGGGCUAAUACCGGAUGGGUCAUCGGACCGCAUGGUCCGAGGAUGAAAGGCGCUUCGGCGUCGCCUGGGGAUGGCUUUGCGGCGCAUUAGCUAGUUGGUGGGGUAAUGGCCCACCAAGGCGACGAUGCAUAGCCGACCUGAGAGGGGGAUCGGCCACACUGGGACUGAGACACGGCCCAGACUCCUACGGGAGGCAGCAGUAGGGAAUCUUCCACAAGGACGAAAGUCUGAUGGAGCAACGCCGCGUGAACGAUGAAGGCCUUCGGGUCGUAAAGUUCUGUUGUAAGGGAAGAACAAGUGCCGCAGGCAAUGGCGGCACCUUGACGGUACCUUGCGAGAAAGCCACGGCUAACUACGUGCCAGCCGCCGCAGUAA